rnacentral:rRNA from 1 species
AACCCGCCUGCAUGAAGUCGGAAUUGCUAGUAAUCGCGGAUCAGCAUGCCGCGGUGAAUACGUUCCCGGGCCUUGUACACACCGCCCGUCACACCAUGAGAGUUGAGAAUACCCGAAGCCCAUGUCAAAGUGGUCGAAGGUAGGCUUGAUGAUUGGGGUGAAGUCGUAACAAGGUAGC